rnacentral:lncRNA from 1 species
CACGGAACUUGUGCUGGAGGGGAGGGGAGGGGGCAGGCCCUCCUUUCACACUCAGAUAUGGAGACUGAAAGCACGCCCAGACCUGUGGAGAAGGAGGUUGGCCACUCUUGCAUGUGAGCUGAGGGACAAUGGGCCACAAGCAUCCUCCUACCUGACUGAGAGAAUGAAGGAAUUCCGAGCUGACCAGCAGAGACAGCUGACAAACAAGGCCAGGGCGGCUGGUGUCCGGCCGAGACAGCCUUCUGUUUCCUUGAGUUCACACAGGGGAAGAGGAAGUCUUCAUCAACCGCAGAGCACAUUGAAGCAGAGCCUGAGGAGGGGCCCCAGAAGCCCCAGCUGGGAACCUGUGGCUGUGGCCACGAUGCUCUCUUAAGUCUUCAGGAAACUGCUCACCGUGUGCUCAAAACUUUGACAACACUGGUCACUGGUCACCAGAGGCUUGUCCUUAACAGCACUGAAUAUAUAUCAACUGUCGUUUGUAAGAAGAGAAGCCUCCACCGUGCCUUAGGGAUACACAGCUGACUUGGGAGGACUGAUGUGGAUGUUACAUGAGGCCGUGUUCUCCUCCUUGCUCUCUAAUUAGUCUUUGGUGGGUACCAGACUCAGCAGAAGAGGCUGCAAGGCUUCUGGCCUCACAAACCACCUUGCCCUUGCCUGUCCCAUCGACCCCAUCUUGGAGAACCAUCUUACCGUCAGUCAGUCAUGUUCCCCUGCCUCACGCCAAUGCUACAUUGAGGUCCCACUGCCAAACCAUACCGCUUUUAGCCCUGGAGAUGUCCCAGCUCCUCCCUGAGGUCUCGAUGGAAUGGGUUCAAAAUUCAAGUGGCUUGUGACAACAGAGAGAAGAGAAGAGAGGGACAGAGGAGUUUUGAAAGUUUACGCUCUUCUGCCUCCACGAGUAUAAAUAUUGACAGAGAACAAAAAGCCAUAAAAGCACUUUAUGAUUAGAUUUGAUACUUCAUUUUCUGUGGAUGUUUCCUUCAGAAUGCAGCUAAUUGAAUCUGUUUGAACAUGUAAUUGUUUGUUAUUUGAUUCUGUGGAACCUUUUUAAAAAUCAGCACAAAUUGAACCCAGAAUGCAGAAGCAGGCUAAAACCCUUAGUGGAGCUACAGU